rnacentral:rRNA from 1 species
UACGUAGGGGGCAAGCGUUAUCCGGAAUUACUGAGUGUAAAGGGAGCGUAGACGGUAAUGUAAGUCUGGAGUGAAAGGCGGGGGCCCAACCCCCGGACUGCUCUGGAAACUAUGUUACUAGAGUGCAGGAGAGGUAAGCGGAAUUCCUAGUGUAGCGGUGAGAUGCGUAGAUAUUAGGAGGAACACCAGUGGCGAAGGCGGCUUACUGGACUGUAACUGACGUUGAGGCUCGAAAGCGUGGGGAGCAAACAGG